rnacentral:sRNA from 1 species
CUUCUGCUUCCGGGUCACGCCUUGACAGCGGCUUUCAACCCCCACCUCAGCCCAGCAAUUCGGUGAAUGCCCUGGAUGGGUAUAACCGAACAGCCCUCCACUAUGCAGCAGAGAAAGAUGAGGCUUGUGUGGAGGUCCUAUUGGAGUAUGGCGCAAACCCCAAUGCUUUGGAUGGCAACAGAGAUACCCCACUUCACUGGGCAGCCUUUAAGAACAAUGCUGAGUGUGUGCGGGCUCUCCUAGAGAGCGGGGCCUCUGUCAAUGCCCUGGAUUACAACAAUGAUACACCGCUCAGCUGGGCUGCCAUGAAGGGAAAUCUUGAGAGUGUCAGCAUCCUUCUGGAUUAUGGCGCAGAGGUCAGAGUCAUCAACCUAAUAGGCCAGACACCCAUCUCCCGCCUGGUGGCUCUGCUAGUCAGGGGACUUGGAACAGAGAAAGAGGACUCUUGCUUUGAGCUCCUCCACAGAGCUGUUGGACACUUUGAAUUGAGGAAAAAUGGCACCAUGCCACGAGAGGUGUCCAGAGACCCGCAGCUAUGUGAAAAACUGACUGUUCUGUGCUCAGCUCCAGGAACUCUAAAAACACUCGCUCGCUAUGCCGUGCGCCGUAGCCUGGGACUCCAGUAUCUCCC